rnacentral:lncRNA from 1 species
GCGCAGAAAGAAGGAACUUUGGCCUAGCAGAAUCACAACCAGAAAUAGAUGAGGCGUAUGAAGAAAUGAUAGCAGAACUUGCUCAGGAAGCAGCUUCACCCGGAAGUGGUGAUGAACAAGCUUCAUUUCCACCACCUCCAACACAACCACCUCCCAACCUUAAAGAUUUUAUGAGAUUUGUUAGAAAUAAUGCAUAAAUUAUGAUGUAACUUGUACAUU